rnacentral:tRNA from 1 species
AGUAAAGUCAGCUAACCAAGCUUUUGGGCCCAUACCCCGAACAUGUUGAUGAAACCUCUCCCUUUACUA